rnacentral:rRNA from 1 species
GACGAACGCUGGCGGCGUGCUUAACACAUACAAGUCGAACGGAAAGGCCUCUUUCGGGGGGUACUCGAGUGGCGAACGGGUGAGUAACACGUGAGUAACCUGCCCUUGACUUUGGGAUAACUUCAGGAAACUGGGGCUAAUACCGGAUAGGAGCUCCUGCUGCAUGGUGGGGGUUGGAAAGUUUCGGCGGUUGGGGAUGGACUCGCGGCUUAUCAGCUUGUUGGUGGGGUAGUGGCUUACCAAGGCUUUGACGGGUAGCCGGCCUGAGAGGGUGACCGGCCACAUUGGGACUGAGAUACGGCCCAGACUCCUACGGGAGGCAGCAGUGGGGAAUAUUGCACAAUGGGUGGAAGCCUGAUGCAGCAACGCCGUGUGCGGGAUGACGGCCUUCGGGUUGUAAACCGCUUUCGCUCAUGACGAAGCUUUGUGUGACGGUAGUGGGUAAAGAAGCACCGGCUAACUACGUG